rnacentral:lncRNA from 1 species
AUUCAACCUUAGUUAAAAAUGACACUCUAAAUUUUUGAAUAUUUUCACCAAAUUUUUGGCAUUUAUAGUCCACCUACUUAGAGGUAAACUUAAUAGUGAAAAAGUGUAAACAACUGAUUUUAUUGUUGCAUGAUGUAAAUUUCAGUUUGAUUUUUGUCUACAUUUCAAUUAAAUGAGGUCACAAUUUAUUUAGUAAAGUGCUCAAAAUAUUUGUAAGGAUAAAGUGUUUCAUAUACAAAUAUGUAAGCAGAAGUUUUUCUUGUAGUAAUUAUGUGUUCACAAAAUAUUUCAGUCUGCUCAUAUUUAUUACUGACAGAUUAUGCAAAUUUUGUCAGUUUUUUGUGUCCUUUUUUUCACUGUUCAAUUUCCAGUCAUAGUAUGGCACAAUUGUAUUUUCGUUCUUUGUUAUUAGCCACAAUAUAUUUUUGGUUUAAUAAAUUUUGUUCCAGAUCACUAGUCCUUAUCAAACUUUAAAACCAUGUUCCUUGGCAAACUUGGGAUUCCAACAUCAUUCUAACCACUCUAUUCUUGAAAAAAAAUCAAUAUACACUAAGCAACUUUUGUCAACUAUUUUGUAAUACAUUAUUACAGGUUUCUUCUGAUCUUGAUGCAGUGCAGUUUUUAUAUGACGGUAAAUUUACUGAAAGGUUGAGUCUAUCUAUUUUUAGUUCUCUAGCAAUAUGUUGUCCUUCAACAUAACUAAAGAUAUAGUUGAUCAAUCCUUGUUGUGGUCAGUGGCUUUACCCAUUUCUAAAAUAAAACUUUACAAUGUAGACACAUAAAAGUUACUCCAAGUUUUGAAGCAACAUAAUUUUCUAUAAAAGCCUAUUAAUAAAAUGUGUUAAAGUUGACCAAAGUGCUAAAAAUCUCUUGUUUUAUUUAUAAUUUUUCAUAUGCCUCCAACAAUAACUUUCACUCAGGUUCUUCUUAAGAUUAAGUAUUUUCCAAGUGAUUCUGUAGAACACCUACUAUUAUCAAGCUUCAAAUGACAAACAGAGCUAACAUUUGCACUUUUAUUUGGUCCACUGAUUGUCAUGUUUAGCCCACAAGUGUAUCAGAUAAAAUGAUUGGGUUUGAUUUACAAGUAUUUCUGAAUUUUUAUCAAUGUUGUGUUGUAAUUCUGUGCCCAGCAUAGGCUUUUUAGUUGUUUUCUUUAUAAAAUCCCUAUAUGUUGUAAAGCAACACAUUUGACAUUGAUUUUGCCUGCAUUUAUAUGUAAUUCAGAUUAGAAAAUGUGUCCUUUGGGUUAUAAGAAAUAAAGGGGAAAAGAUGCUAAAAUGGACUAAUGAAUAUCUUUUUUGAUUUUAAUGCAAUAUUUUUUAUUUUGACAUUUGUUAGAAAAUUGCUGAAGGUCUUUCCAUUUCCAAGUUGUGGCUUGGAUGGAGAGUUGUCUCAUUAACACUUAUACCACAUCUUCUUAUAUCUAUAUAGCACAACAAAGUAUAAACUUUCUUGUUCAUCUUUCUCUAUCAGUAUGGCACAUGUUGAAUUUUCUGCAACCAUUUGUCCAUCUUUUGUAACACAUCACAUUUGAAUAUGAAACCUCAAUUUAAAUGAAUGAAUGAAGUUGCAAUGCCCUCAUUAAAUACACUAUUUGAUAGUUGUAUAUGUUAUGAACAUGCUAAUGUUUCUAAUUCAUUAUCACUAAGCAUUAUUACCUUAUGUCUAUAUAUAUAUGUAUGCCUUUAUUUGUUUAUUUUAGUUCAUUGUUAGAGCCUUCAACUGUUUUAUUAUGGUGCUU